GUAGUCUCGCACAGAUGCAUAUCAAUAAGCGGAGGAAAAGAAACUAACAAGGAUUCCCCUAGUAACGGCGAGUGAAGCGGGAAGAGCUCAAAUUUGAAAUCUUAAAGGGUUUCCCUUUACGAAUUGUAGUUUAAAGAAGUGUUUUCUGUUGAGGUUUUGGUAAAAGUUCUUUGGAAUAGGACAUCAUAGAGGGUGAGAAUCCCGUAUUUGACCUUUACUUUCAACUUUGUGAUACACUUUCAAAGAGUCGGAUUGUUUGGGAAUGCAGUCCAAAAUGGGUGGUAAAUUUCAUCUAAAGCUAAAUAUUGGCGAGAGACCGAUAGCGAACAAGUACCGUGAGGGAAAGAUGAAAAGAACUUUGAAAAGAGAGUUAAACAGUACGUGAAAUUGUCAAAAGGGAAGCGUUUGACACCAGUGUUGUUUUUCUGAAAAUCAAUUAAAGAACUGUUUAUGCUAAGUUGUUUAGACUUUAUCAGCUAUCUGUUUAGUUUUGAGCUUUUCUUUAAUGCACUUUUCAGUUAACAAGUCAACAUCAAUUUCUUUUGCUGUAAAAAAGCUUGAGGAAGGUGGCUUGAGAUUCGUCUUAAGUGUUUAUAGCCUCUUGCCUAUGCAGUCGGAGAGAUUGAGGUCUGCAGCGUAGAUCCUUCGGGGCUAAAGUGCAUUUGUGCUAAGUUAUAGCAUUUUAUAGACAACUUGUUGACUAUGAUUUGUCUUGUAGCUUACUCGCUUAUGUUAUUUUACCUACGCUUAGGAUGUUGAAGACUCUACAGAGAUA
rnacentral:rRNA from 1 species